rnacentral:rRNA from 3 species
AGAUCGAACUAUAGAGUUUGAUCCUGGCUCAGAUUGAACGCUGGCGGCAUGCCUUACACAUGCAAGUCGAACGGCAGCACGGGAGCAAUCCUGGUGGCGAGUGGCGAACGG